rnacentral:lncRNA from 1 species
CUCAGCUCCAUGAAUGAGGCUGUCAAUACCCUGAAUGAGCUUAAAUCAAAAGUAGGUUAGAGAACAAUUUGAGCAGGAAAUGUCUUGCAGAGGAAUGUGCUGAACAAAGAGAACUUUGUGUCUUCCACUUGACGGUAUCUUCAUUUCUUAGUAUUGAGGAGACAUAAACCUGUUUUGGUGCAUCCAAAGGAGGGCCAUAAAAAUGAUCCAAAGGAUGGAAUAAGAUGGAACAACUCUCCAAUGAGGACAGGCUGAGAGAGCUGAGGCUGUUCAUCUUGGAGAAGAGAAGGCUUUGAGGAGAAAAUGAAGGAAGAUAUCAACGUUGCAACAGUUACUUUCCAUCAACAAUUGCUCAUUUAUCUGUGGUAGUAUGCACAACACAGUGGUUUCUCCUCGGCAUCAGUUCAAAAGAAGCUCAAAAACAAAUGAAAGAAAAUACGAGUUCCAUGUCUGAAGUGAGGAGAUUAAGGGAUACUGGACAACUCAUCUCUGAAGAAACUUCAGAGAGCUUUAUUUUUGGCAGCUGGACGGUUGUUCCAAUAGUGCUGUGCAGCUUGCUGGAUGGAGGAGGAUAUUGACUGAUGUGACACCUGCUUGCUGUACACUGAAUGUCAAAUAUACUGUUACUGAAUUUGAUGAAAUUAAAACUUGUGCAGGAAGUAUUUAAACAGGAUACAAACUACUUAUAUCCACACGAGUCUUACUCUGGUUCCUCUGCAACUUCUCUACAGUGUUACAAAAUAAAGUUGAUGGCACAGGACCUCAGUUUUGAAGUUAAUGUUUGGUGCCUGGGACAUCUCAAAAUUCAAGAGCUGAACUUUUUGGGAUGAAAAUCUUCGGAGAGAAUCAGAUGCAGUUUUUGGAAGUGAUAACUGGAACUGCAGUCUGUGAUAUAUAAAAUAUAAGUGUACAUUGGAUUGAGCUCCCGAAAAGGAUUUUGGUAAUGGGAUGUCCUGUUUCUGGAUCCUGUUUAGGCAAUGGGAUUUAGGAUGCUCUACCUAUUAAGAUAGAUACUGUUGCAAUGCAUAUACAGAAAUGAAAUUUUAUGAUUUAGUUCUGAACAACAUUGAGGCACUGAGGUAUAAUCAGCUAGUAAUAGUUGAAAGCAUUGUUUUUCAGAGUAACAGAUUUGUAUUCAAAUAUAUGAAUUCUAACCCACUCCCACUUUGAGUGAUUUGCUAUCUGAGUGAGCAGCAGGAAAUCUUGCAGAUAUUUUUCACUGCAGCAUCCUGAAGAAGCUCAUACUAUUUUCUUUUUUUGUCGUCUUCUUGGUUUUACAGACAUAAUAUAUCCCUAUAUGUUUCUCCAGCAGAACUACAGAUGUCUCCCAUUACUUUUCUACAGCAACAUGGGUUAGAGCUUUCUCUAUAUGAAAAAAAAAAAAAAAAAUGCUAUAAGCCUCAUUUUCACAGUGGUUAUAAUGAUUGUCUUCAAUAGGGCAAUCCUUGCUGCAAGCAUUUCACGACAGUCUCAGUGAGCACAACGCAAAGUCUUUUAAUGCCUCAUCUUCAGGGUGUGGUAAGAUGAUGGGUAUUACAUGAUGCCUAGAAAGAAAUACCUAAUUUUGACCUUUUCAUUGUUUUCAUUAGGAAGGAAGCAAACAAAAAUAUUCUUUUUCUUUUUCCUUUUCCUUUUCCUUUUCCUUUUCCUUUUCCUUUUCCUUUUCCUUUUCCUUUUCCUUUUCCUUUUCCUUUUCCUUUUCCUUUUCCUUUUCCUUUUCCUUUUCCUUCUCCUUCUCCUUCUCCUUCUCCUUCUCCUUCUCCUUCUCCUUCUCCUUCUCCUUCUCCUUCUCCUUCUCCUUCUCUUUCUUUUUCCUUUUCCUUUUUCUCUUUAAAUAAUAACCUGGAAGUAUGGUUGUGCAAAAGCAGAAAUUUUGUUCAAAGAAAGAUUUCCUUUGAGCAAAAAGUACAUUUUAAAGAAAUAAAUUUGACCAUUUUUAGUAACUUACAUGAAAGAAAGAAGAGCUACUGUGAACAGGAAUUCUGAAUUUUUAUGAAUGCCAAUGGUGCUGCUAAAUUAAAAUUUUUCAACUUUUUCCCUUAGUUGGAUCAAAUGUGUUUAAAUUUAUAAAUUAGUAACCAGUUAUUUACAGACAACAAUUUGAAAAUAAAUCAGAGAAAACCAGUAGCAUUUGCCUCAGUACUACUAGAAAGACUGAAUGUAUACCUAGUCACAUUAAGAAAACAGUUACAAGGACCUACAAAACUCAUGCUGACAUUUAGACAGAAAGAACAUAAGCAUCUUUAGGCAAACAAAUUAGUAAGUCUAGCUAUGAAUAGUAAAGCCUCCCACACUAUCUCUGAAUCAGUUACCAACUUGCCUAGUAUAUAUCUGAUGGGCAGCCAAAUGGGAUGUUAUAGAAUGAGCAGCAAACCCUUGAAUAAAAAGUGGACACCCAAGGUGCCAUUUUGAUUAGUAUCUAUCUAUUAAGAUAGUUAGAGGUUUUUUCCUCUUUAAGCUGAUGUAACAUCAGAGAAAGAAGUCUUUGACUUGACCAGAAAUCCUUGACUUGGUUCUUAGAAACCUGAGGAGCACUAGAGUUUAGGCUGGAGAUAUGAAACUUUUUGUGGAAAACUACCACUAUUCUAUCAGAACUUAGCAAAAAAUUCAUUUUGUCAUGUUGAGUGGUGAAUUUUUUGUCCUAACACAUACAGGUUUUGGAAAGCUAUAAAGAAGAAACUUCACUCAACCCAGCUUGCUCCAUCAGUCUAGGAAAAAGCUAUUAGUGUGAAAAGAAAUUCCAAAAGUUUUAGGAGUUGAGAUUCACCUAAAAAUUUAUAUCUGCUAAGUAGAGUGAAAAUUUGAGGAGGAGUACAACUGAAAAGCAGGAACGCAAAUAAAUGUUAUUUCUGUAGAAGUUCAUGGGACUUUUGCUUGCAUGGAAGCCCAAAAGAGUCUGUAGAAUGUUGCCAGUACAUUCAGAAUAAAAUAGGAAUUUUAGAAAAGCAGAAGGAUUUGGCAAUGUCAUGUCCAGGAAUGAAGAAUAAUCAGAAUAAAUUAAGUAGGUCAUGGGAUGGACAGACUCAUAUAAUUACAAUGAAAUCAUAAUAUAAAUCAUUGGAGAACCAGCAGUGGUAAACACUGUUAGGUGGUUUUUUUUAUUGUUGUUUUUUGUGUAUGUGUGUUUGUUUUUGUGGUUUGUUUUUUUUUUCACUGAGGUAGCCAUAUUACAAGCAGGCAGCAUGAAUUACUUUAUUGAAUAUUCAAAGAUGUUUUGAAUACCCUGUAACUUCUUAUGAGAUUAUCAACCACCAUUUUCAGAUGUGCCUUAGGUCACUAAAAUGAUACACAGGACAUCAUUAUGCUUCCUAAAUGAUCUCAAUGCAGCAAUUUCAAUACAGUAGUUUGAUAACCAAUUAAGUGGCAUUCUAAACAUUUUAAGUUUUUCAUAUUUUCAAAAAAUCUCAGUAAGUGAAUAGUGCUAUGUAGUCAAUUUUUAACCCUCACGUGUAAUGACUGGUAAAGGAAGAUGAUUAAAAUCAACCUGGAAUGGUUUGGAUGUGCAAAAAUGUCAAAAUAUCAUGAGAUUAUGUACAGUCUUUAACUAAUGGACCAGUAAUUUGUAGUGAGAGUCAUGAGGCCUUCUGUUAUACAGACCUUUUGUUGAUUUGUCAGGGGAAAACUUUCUUCAGUACUUUUCUUGUAUGAUAUAAAUAAUCAUCACAGGUAGCAGUAAAUAAUUCUUGACUCUAGUUACCUAAAUGAACUUACUGAAACUUAGUGAAACAUCUGUAACAACACUUAGCAGCACUUGCAAAGAAAUCUUGUGCAGUAGUAGCAAAGGGAAACAGCAAUAUUUAGUCUGACAAGCUUUAACUCCAGUCACUGUCAGCCCAUUUUCAAAGGAAAAAAUUGCAGUCUGACUCAGGAUAAAUAUUAUAUGGACUGCUUUGUGGUAAAUCAUUCAUAAAGAAAGGUAGACUGUUCACCAAGAUUAUCUUUCUGAUUCAAAUGUAGCAAAAUGUUAGAUUUUACUUGGGCUCAUUUGUUUUCCUGAAAGACAUUUGAAUAAGCAAAAACCUGUAGAUCUCUCUCUUCUGGUUCCUUUGUUGAGGCAAUAGCUACCACACACAAAGGGACUGUAUAGGCAGGAUAAAGGCAGCUUUAAUACCCUGCACAGUUCCCAACAGCUGGAUGUAGUGUGCAGCUCUGCCAACAAGUCUGUGUAAGCCCAGCAGCACAAAUGAGGUGGUGACACACCAGCAACAACUGCUCUUUGGAAUGUACUCACCAUCAGUUUACUGGAAACAUCUUCCAGCUCCACUGGUCUCCCUUUAGUUUUUGGAUACCUUCCUAGAGCCUUUCUAUUUAACCCCUGAAUCCCUGAACUGCAGACAGUCUUACAUUGACUCACUUACUUUUGCUUGCAGUUUUACUUUUCUUAUCUCACUGGGUUUCCAUCCAUAUAUUUUCUUACAGUUUCCUCAGCAGGAAUGCAGCUUUCCCAGAUGUUUGUGUUGAGUUUACACAGUUAUGCCAGGUCAUUGCUUGGCUGUGGAUCAGGGAGCAUUGAUCAUUCAGAAGGGAGGUUGCCAAUCUGACAGGUGACAGCGUGGGAGGUAAGGAGAAGGAAGAACAGCCUCUUUUGCGCUUGCUGAUUUCAGUGCCUGAAAUGCUAUCUCAUCUCCACUAAUCCUCUAGCUUUCACAGCUGAACUUUCAGAUCUGCCAGCUCUUCCCAGAAAGAGACUGAGAACCGACAGGAGGAAAUCGAAUGCACUUUAAAUCUGAAAUCUGUCAUCAGAGUAGCAGUCUUCACAAACUCAACUUUUCAAAGAAGGAAAUUUUCAGAUUCUAACUUCUUAUUGGAAAGCUGCUGGAGACCUUUUCUUGCUAUGCUGUUAUUUGGAGUGAAUAAAGAAUCUUUUCUACUUUCAGCUCAGUAUCAAGGCUGGUUCUGUGGCAGGAUGUGCAGACCGCUGGGCUGCUUUCUCUGCAGAAGUGCAAGGGGAGAUGGAGGCCAUCCGCAUAAAGGGGACUGCACACAAUACCCUUGGUGCCCACCAUGAGGUGAAGACUCAACCAGACCCUACACAUGAGCAUCACAGCAUAUGCAGACAUAAAGGAGGAGGAGUAGAACAAGCUGGGCAUCAGUGUGCAUCUGCAGUGAAGGCAACAGGAGCACUAUCUCUACAUAAUUAACUUAAAGCAGAAUUGGCUUUUUAUGGAUGUUUGGCAACACUUACAAAUAAUGGUGCAAUAAUUAAAGAUGCAUUACAAAGAAUCUCAGCUGGAAGCAGACUUUUCAUCACACCCUAAUACCCCA